rnacentral:rRNA from 1 species
UACGUAGGGCGCAAGCGUUAUCCGGAAUUAUUGGGCGUAAAGAGCUCGUAGGCGGUUUGUCGCGUCUGCCGUGAAAGUCCGGAGCUCAACUCCGGAUCUGCGGUGGGUACGGGCAGACUAGAGUGCGGUAGGGGAGACUGGAAUUCCUGGUGUAGCGGUGAAAUGCGCAGAUAUCAGGAGGAACACCGGUGGCGAAGGCGGGUCUCUGGGCCGAUACUGACGCUGAGGAGCGAAAGCGUGGGGAGCGAACAGG